rnacentral:snoRNA from 2 species
GAGCAGGGGCGUCAAAGUAUAUAAAAAUGGCGUCAUUUGCAUUGAAGGUUGGCGAUAGCAUUAAGCGAUUCUCCGUGCCCAUCAAAUUUUAUUUUCGUUUUGAUCGUGGCCUCGAACAAGUCGCUACAUU